GAUGGCUCCUGGGGGCGUGGCUGACCGCGAAGUAUGAAAAGCCCCUUUCCAGAAGACAAACAAAGCGGACGGAGACGAUCAUCGGCAGGAUAUGCGACAUAAGAGCCACAAAGGGAAGAAAGUCGCAAAGGCCAUCAGAUCAGGAUCUUUUCUUGAGAAGUCAGCUUAGAGGCCCAGCUUACCAUGCUGGAUGAAGUUUAUUUACAGGUUCUCACAAGGCCUACGUUUGAGGCAGCUAGACAUGAUGAAAGAUGGCAUUGCGAGGAGUUCAAGAACUCUUUUAGCCAUUUCUUCAAAAAUUAGAAACAUAUGCAAAUGUGCAAUAACGCGACAUGCAAGAAACGUAAAACAAAAUUGAAGGAGAAAGAGAAUUUGUGGCCAUUGAUGAAAGCUACAUUCGUCAACUGCUAACAAAAUGACUGAAUUGAGCUUAAAUAUUAACCAGGAAUAAAUACAACAGCAAGGUCCAA